rnacentral:rRNA from 1 species
ACGGGUGAGUAACGCGUGGGUAACCUGCCUUAUACAGGGGGAUAACAGUCAGAAAUGGCUGCUAAUACCGCAUAAGCGCACAGAGCUGCAUGGCUCAGUGUGAAAAACUCCGGUGGUAUAAGAUGGACCCGCGUUGGAUUAGCUGGUUGGUGGGGUAACGGCCCACCAAGGCGACGAUCCAUAGCCGGCCUGAGAGGGUGAACGGCCACAUUGGGACUGAGACACGGUCCAGACUCCUACGGGAGGCAGCAUG